UUCCAGUCUAUAUGGGCCGUGUUUAAAUUGUCCAAACAGCAGAUUGUACCUCACAUUAGGAUCCGGCCUUGCCGGGGCAAGUCACUUCGGGCCUUGAAAAUGAUGCCCAUCAACUCACUUCGGACCUGGAUUUCGCUGCCGAAGAAGCUGUUCUCGACCUCUCCAGUUUGGCUGGGCAUUUAGAGCAAUCCACCCUCGUACCCGGGACCACGAGGAGAGCAUACAAACUUCUUACAGACGGCUCUGGGUGCUCCGGUCUCCUCCCGCAGUCCAAAGACAUACUGGCAUCAUCUCUCACCUCUCCUCUGGUUUAGACAAAGGAUCGAAUAUCCCGGUUCUCACCUUCAACUACACCAGCCUCUAUGCUCAAUGGAUCAUCCUUUGCAAAUUCAGCCAGCUCCAACAAGACUGUACCACAGAUGUAUCCCUUUUAGAAACAACCCUUUGCAAUGCUUUCAUUUGAGUAAAUUCUCUUUGGUGAUUCAUAUCAAACAAAUUUAAAAUAAGUUAGCAUGAUAUAAACCAGAGAUUUCAUUAUAUUCAUCAAUGCAAAAACCAAUGGAAAAACUUCUCUUGACUUAUAUAAAUUACUGAACAAGAAAAUAUUUGUCCAGAGAGUGUGGAAUGAGUUAUUAAUGCACCUCUAAUCCAACUUCUCAAUAUCACCUCAC